rnacentral:rRNA from 1 species
UACGGGGGGGGCAAGCGUUGUUCGGAAUUACUGGGCGUAAAGGGCUCGUAGGUGGCCAACUAAGUCAGACGUGAAAUCCCUCAGCUUAACUGGGGAACUGCGUCUGAUACUGGAUGGCUUGAGUUGGGAGAGGGAUGCGGAAUUCCAGGUGUAGCGGUGAAAUGCGUAGAUAUCUGGAGGAACACCGGUGGCGAAGGCGGCAUCCUGGACCAACACUGACACUGAGGAGCGAAAGCCAGGGGAGCAAACGGG